rnacentral:lncRNA from 10 species
AUUUUGAGUCAUAUUAAGCAAUGUUUCCCCAUUUUCAGAAUAUAGAAGAAUUCAUAACUGCUUUUUAAAAAUACAUGUACAGUUCCUUUUUAAAGCCUUGAUUUAAAUAUCUGAUCCAUUGGGAAUUUAUCCUGGAUUAUGGUGUAAGAAAUGGAUCCAAUUUUAUCUUUCUCCAUAUGGCUAUCCAGUUAUCUCAGCAAUGUUUAUUUAACUGUCCAUCUUCUACCCAGCAAUUUGAGAUGCUACCUAUAAAGCAUACUAAAUGGUCACAUGUGAUUGUAUCUUGUUUCUGAACUUUCUACCUUUUCAUUAGUUUGUCUGCCUAUUCAUGUGCUAAUAUCAAACUGUUUAAAUAAUAAAGUUUUUAAUAGUACUUUCUAAAGAAAUCUGAUAUAGUUUUUCCUUCCAGCUGUUGUCCUGAACAUUGCUUUUCUUUUUUAGAGUUUAUCUGGUUAUUCUUACUUGUUUUUAAAUUCCUAAUGAACUUUAUAAUCAAUUUGUUUAACUCUAGAAAAAAGCCUGGAGACAUUGAACUAAGAUCAAAUUUAAUGUAUUAAAUAUGGUAGAAAGAAGAGAGAAUGAAAAAUAAUGUUAACAAUCUAGGUGAGGAAUUGCUGAGGAGACAAAUUAAGUAAAUCCUGUGGAAGGAAAGAAGAAAGGAGGAAAGAGGAUUGGAUGGAAGAAUCUCCACUUCUCAUAGGUGUAGUCCUUCCUUAGCCUGCUUUUUAAUGAGUGCUGCUAAAGCCCUUAGCCUGCCUGUUUACCCUUGGAGUGGAGCAAUGAACUGAAGAUAUUUGAGUGAGUUCAAGAGAGACUCAGAAGAGAAGAAUUGGAGGCAGCAAACAUAGACAGCACUUUUAAUGCUUUUCUCAUAUGCUGUAAGACAUGAAAGCAAUCUAUUGGGAUGAAAGCUGAAAGGAGAAGCGGGACAAGAGAAGUGAAUCCGUGGAAGACCCCCAAAAGAGGCUGCAGAUUCUUAGUGGACAGCUCUCAUAUCCCCUCCAGGGAAAAUGAUGAAAAAUGUCUUCAGAAAAAUAGCUUUAUGAAGGCAAGAGGACUUUUUGCACCUGCAAGACAUGUCUGAAAGCUCCUCAGGUCAAAACACAAGUAGUCAAGAGAUUUGUCCAUCUAAUUCAUCAUACUACUCUGAUCCAAGUGAGACCCACACUGGGUCAGCUCCAUCAAGGAGAAGAACAUUCCACCCACGUUUGGAUUCUGGAAUAUCAUCCUUGCUUCCAUCAGAUUCUUGUAAGUACCUCACUUGGCACAAGGUAGACAUGACGUUCAAGGAAGUCAACUGCGUUGCCCAAGAGUAAGAGAAGGAAUCUCUGAAGAAGAGCAACUUUUCAGACAGGUAGAGUGUGCCUUGCUCCCAAGGAAAAGAGUUCUUGAAAAAAACAAAUGGGAAACAUGGCUACAAGAAAACUGGGAAGACUGCAAGAAUUUGAACAUUUCAUUUCAGGGUUUGGGGGAUCCUUACCAAGUUGAAAAUUUUAACAGAAUUCUUAGAAGACUAAUUCGAGUUGAAACCCUCUGGUUAGUGGAUAAUUCACUGGUGGACUUAAGUGCCAUAAGAUUGCCAAGGCAAAAACAUGCUAACUGACAAGAAAAUCAUGGGUUUUAUACAAGGAUAACAAGUGCUGGGUUGCUUAGCUAUGAGGAAGGCUAGGCUCACUGCAUACCAGAAGAUGUACAGCGUUGGAGAAUUCAGGGAUUUUUAUCAACAAUCAAACUAUAUUUGUGGAAAUUUUGUGCAUAAGUGCCAAAGAUGGCUGACAUCGGACCACAUUCUAUUUAACUCAACUGAAUGACACCAAGCUCUCAUCCUAAAACUUAUAGUUACAUCCACCCUUCUGAAAUAUUUAAUUAUUCUCCAAUACACUGGAGGUAAUAGGUAUAAAAAGAAUGAGCAUGUGCAACUUAGUAUCUCAUAUCUAAUUUUGUGUCCCAAGUUCAUUCUUCCCCUGAAUGUCCCAUGUCUACCAGGUGCAGGAUUAUCUGGAUGGGUCAGUUCAAAACAAUUUCAGGGAAUAAAUUGUGUAGGGGACUCAAUUUUCUGAGACAGAAACAUAAUGUGAAUAACUCCUUUGUUAGAAAAUAAUUUCAGUGACAGAAAGCCUUUCAGUUCAUAAAGAAAACUUACAUAUCAACAAGCCUAGCUCCUCACUAGUCCCAGUGAAUGCUUACAUCAAUCAGCUCUACAAUAUCCAGUAAAGGACUUUCCAAUUCGCCUUUGAAUAAACUGAGGUAUUGGAAACAUCUAAGAAAAUGGUUUUUAAUUCUUCCUAAUCUUCAGGGAGUUCUUCCUUAUAUUGAGCUGAUAUCUGCCCUCUGUAACUUUCAACUAAUUAUUCAAAUCUCUCAAGUGAUUAUAAUUAAUUCCAUCUUAUAAGGAAUUUUUCUCAGCUUCCAGCCUCUUGAAAAUACUCUGAUAUUUUCUCUAAUAUUCAAGUGGAAAUGUAAAUGGGUAACGUAAGAGUCUGUGGGGUUAGGAGGGUGGAGGAAAGGUAAGGGAAAGCUAAUGAGAAAUAACCAAAGCAAGAAAAAGAAUUUUAUUUUCUUCAAGUUCUUUGUACAUCCAAAGUGGAAGAUUCCUAAAAUAAAUUCCCCAUACCACAUUUUAAAAAUUAGGUUAGCAAGCUUACUUUUUAAUUUAUUUAGAAGCCAACUACUUCCAUUUAUUAUUUCUUUCCAGAAUAGAACAAUUAUCACUAAUUGUUUGUCAUUAUAAUGCCAAACUAUGUUAAUAGAUGCCUAUUUUUUUAAAGGCUAAUUGCAAUCAUGAAACCAAAUAUCUAAUUAGUUUUAGAGCUUUGGACCACAUGCAUCAAUAUUUGAAUCAUUCAGGUGUAUAUUUGCUUUCUGCUUUUUUGUCUCUUCAAAAGAAGUAUUAUAUGCAUUCUGUUUAUAAUUUCUAAAUGGUCAUUUCAAAACUGAUUAUACGAGUUUAUACAAAUCAUACUGAAAUUUGUUGCUUAAAAAAUCUUCAUUUUUCUCUAAGCUCUCAGUGUCCUUGAGCUAUAUAUAUUUUAUGGCAAUUUUUACUUAAUAGUUUGUAUGCUAGUUAUUUUUGACAAUGACUACUAAAAUGCAAGUUUCUUCAAGGGCAGAUUCACCUUAGUUCUUCUUUAUACCCCUCAAAAACCUCAGGGUUAUUCUCAAUAAGUAUUGAGUAGGUGAGUGAACUUUGGAUGUAUACUCCUUGAAAUUAUAUUUCUGGAGCUGGAAAACUUUAAAAAAAUGUAUGUCAUGAGUCUAAAGAAAUAAACAUUAUAUGGCUGAAAAAAUACUUUGUGAAAACCAAAAAUCUCAUGGAAUCAUGAACUUAUCUAUGGGACAGAUGUUAGCCCUGAGGUUGUUCUGGGCUUCUUUUCUACCCACUUCCCAUGACCAAAUCAGUUCACUAGUCAGCAGUUCUAUCCUUCCUCUCCUUCUCCUUCCAUCUAAGGAGCUAGAGCUGAACUGCUUGGCCACUGAUUGCUGACAUGCUGAGUUUUCUACAGCUGGAGUUUUCAAGAGGGCUUUGAUUUUGCUUUCCCCAGUUUUCCUUCUUCCACACUUGAAAAGUGGUAAGGGUACCAGCUUUCUGUCUAUCUCUGACUCUCUCUCUCUCUUUCACACACACACACACACACACACACACACACACACACACUUUUUUUUUUCUUCCACCCUCCUGCACAGCAGGAGACCUUGCCUUGAUCUUUGAAGGUCUACAGCAAGUGGUCUAGGCUAACUCAGUGCUGGGCAAAUGGAGCAAAAACUCUUUUCUGCUUCCUUGCCUCCAUGUCUUUCAGAGCUAGCAGAUACAGCUUUUGUUCUAUAGGAGUGAUUCUUUCUAAAUGUCAGCUCAACAGGAUGAUGGUCACUCUUGUAUAUCACUUAGGCAUGAGUUCUGUUGAAUCCCA